rnacentral:rRNA from 1 species
UACGUGGGGGGCAAGCGUUGUUCGGAAUUACUGGGCGUAAAGGGCUCGUGGGUGGCCAACUAAGUCAGACGUGAAAUCCCUCGGCUUAACCGGGGAACUGCCAUUGAUACUAUCAGUCUUGAAUACCGUGGAGGUCAGCGGAAUAUGUCAUGUAGCGGUGAAAUGCUUAGAUAUGACAUAGAACACCAAUUGCGAAGGCAGCUGGCUACACGAAUAUUGACACUGAGGCACGAAAGCGUGGGGAUCAAACAGG